rnacentral:miRNA from 1 species
UGAACUCACUCUGUAGACCAGGCUGGCCUCAAACUCAGAGAUCUGCCUGCCUCUGCCUCCUGAGUGCUGG